rnacentral:rRNA from 1 species
UGAGGAAUAUUGGUCAAUGGGCGCAGGCCUGAACCAGCCAAGUAGCGUGAAGGAUGACUGCCCUAUGGGUUGUAAACUUCUUUUAUAAAGGAAUAAAGUCGGGUAUGUAUACCCGUUUGCAUGUACUUUAUGAAUAAGGAUCGGCUAACUCCGUGCCAGCAGCCGCGGUAAUACGGAGGAUCCGAGCGUUAUCCGGAUUUAUUGGGUUUAAAGGGAGCGUAGAUGGAUGUUUAAGUCAGUUGUGAAAGUUUGCGGCUCAACCGUAAAAUUGCAGUUGAUACUGGAUAUCUUGAGUGCAGUUGAGGCAGGCGGAAUUCGUGGUGUAGCGGUGAAAUGCUUAGAUAUCACGAAGAACUCCGAUUGCGAAGGCAGCCUGCUAAGCUGCAACUGACAUUGAGGCUCGAAAGUGUGGGUAUCAAACAGGAUUAGAUACCCUGGUAGUCCACACGGUAAACGAUGAAUACUCGCUGUUUGCGAUAUACUGCAAGCGGCCAAGCGAAAGCGUUAAGUAUUCCACCUGGGGAGUACGCCGGCAACGGUGAAACUCAAAGGAAUUGACGGGGGCCCGCACAAGCGGAGGAACAUGUGGUUUAAUUCGAUGAUACGCGAGGAACCUUACCCGGGCUUAAAUUGCAGAUGAAUUACGGUGAAAGCCGUAAGCCGCAAGGCAUCUGUGAAGGUGCUGCAUGGUUGUCGUCAGCUCGUGCCGUGAGGUGUCGGCUUAAGUGCCAUAACGAGCGCAACCCUUGUUGUCAGUUACUAACAGGUUCCGCUGAGGACUCUGACAAGACUGCCAUCGUAAGAUGUGAGGAAGGUGGAGAUGACGUCAAAUCAGCACGGCCCUUACGUCCGGGGCUACACACGUGUUACAAUGGGGGGUACAGAGGGCCGCUACCACGCGAGUGGAUGCCAAUCCCCAAAACCUCUCUCAGUUCGGACUGGAGUCUGCAACCCGACUCCACGAAGCUGGAUUCGCUAGUAAUCGCGCAUCAGCCACGGCGCGGUGAAUACGUUCCC